CCUACGGGUGGCAGCAGUGAGGAAUAUUGGUCAAUGGGCGUAAGCCUGAACCAGCCAAGUCGCGUGAGGGAUGAAUGUCCUAUGGGUCGUAAACUUCUUUUAUAAGGGAAUAAAGUGCGGGACGUGUCCCUUUUUGUAUGUACUUUAUGAAUAAGGAUCGGCUAACUCCGUGCCAGCAGCCGCGGUAAUACGGAGGAUCCGAGCGUUAUCCGGAUUUAUUGGGUUUAAAGGGUGCGUAGACGGGCUUUUAAGUCAGUGGUGAAAGUCUGUGGCUCAACCAUAGAAUUGCCGUUGAAACUGGCAGGCUUGAGUAUGUGUGAGGUAGGCGGAAUGCGUGGUGUAGCGGUGAAAUGCUUAGAUAUCACGAAGAACUCCGAUUGCGAAGGCAGCCUACCAAGC
rnacentral:rRNA from 1 species